AUGGUCAACAGUGAUAAUUUCUCAACCAAAGGCAUUAAAUUAACAACCACUUUUUGUUGUUUUCAGUUGAUCUGGGGGAGAAAAAAAGAUACCAACCAUAUCUACCUGGCAGGUGUUAGCCAAGGUCUGGUCUGUUGCUAUGAUGCAUCAUCACUAGUAAUUACAGCUGGAUAUGGGUGCAGCUCUGUCGGAAAAUCUCCUGGGAUUAUGAUUUCUCUAAGGACACAUGCAUUUCCUAAUUCAUGUGCUGUUCCUAAAAGUGAGUGUCUUUUCUUAGAAGAUAUGUACUCCAGGGCACUUGGGGGGCUCAGUUGGUUAAGUGUCUGGCUUUUGAUUUUGGCUCAAGUCACGACCUCAUGGUUGUGAGAUGGGGCCCUGAGUUGGGCUCUGGCUCCAUGCUGAAUUGGGCCUGCUUGGUAUUCUCUCUCUCUCUCUCUCUCUCUCUCUCUCUCUCUCUCUCUCUGUCUCUCUUUCUCUGCCCUUAUAACACUAAUGAUCUCUCUUUUCACUCUGUUAACAAUAAAUUAACAUUGUAAAAAAGGAAGAUAUAUAUU
rnacentral:lncRNA from 1 species